ACCAUCACAAGUGAAAAUUCUAAAGCAGGAAAAAGUAGCAUGUCUGGCUGACAACGAUGCAAGGCUUGCAUUAGAUCCAAAUGACAAGUACAAGAUCCAGACAAAGCCACAUGGGCAUGGAAAUGUUCAUUCUCUUCUUUAUUCAAGUGGAUUACUUGAGCAAUGAGUACAGGAUGGAGAUGGGUUCUCUUUUUCCAGGACACAAAUGGAUUGCUCUUUAAUGCAAUACCAUCGGCAUUAGGUGUCAGUGCCACCAAGGGCUACAAUGUUAAUUCUCUUGCAGUUCCUCGAAAGGCAAAGGAAGCCAUUGGUGUAAUAACCAAGCUUACUCAUCUUGAUGGUAGAACAAUGGUUAUCAAUGUUGAGUACAAUCAGCUUGAUCCACUCCUUCGUGCAACUGGGCAUCCUGAUGGAGAUGCAAAUUGUGAAACAGGCUAUUCUCCAUACCUGGAAAUAUAAACCAGGUAAUGUAGCAAACAGAUAAGUUAGAACACUAAUGAUUUGCCAACCUCCAAAUAAUCCUUUGCUUCAAUGGGUCUCAAAUACUGAAAACAUGGUGCUUAACAUGACCUGUUUAUUUAAUAUGAUCAGUGUGAAAGCAUCUCAUUUGAUUUUGUUCCUUCUCAACCUAAUGAUUGCAACUUCGGGAACAGGUAUAGCUUAUGUAUACUCUUGGGGGUUUAAUCACUCUAAUCAACUAUUAUAAUAGAGCACAGCUAAGGUACUAAAUCAUGCAGGGUUAUAUGCAGAUUUGGUUGCCAUUAAAUGAUGUAUGUACGACAGACGGCUCCGGCGAGUCGGAUGGACUGCGACGGUUGCUGAGCUUCUCCAUGGCCUGCUGCAGUUCCAAGGAGACACAACUUCAAAGCACAAUGUCCAUCAUCGCAGAAGCAUAGGUGGUAUACAGUGAGCUUUUUGGAGGAAGUAGAGACAGAGGUUUCUAUUCAACAAAAAGAUGGAGCCGCCAUCAUCAAGCAUCGACGAGCAGCCCAGUCUCAGCCGAUGCAUCGACAGGCUGUGGCGGGCUUCAAUAGAGAAAUAAGGAGGAUAGUAAGACUUUUCCAAUGAUUCUCUUGGAAGUCAUUUCUAUGCUAUUCAAGGAUUUUUUUAUAUCAGAAUGUUAUGACAAUAUAUAGAUAGGGGAGAUAGCCCUCCACAUCCCGGUGGCCAUUGUAUGCUGCAGCAAAGAGCACACUUUAAUUAGUGAGCAGGAAGAUGCGGCAAUCCCAGAUGUGCUUUGACAUCAUGAUUUGUAGUUGUCAAGGACGUCAUUACCCAAGCCUAUUCCUAUGCUUUGGUAAUUUUAUAUUUGAGGUGUAAUAGAUACACAUGCCUAAAUCUGGAUACACUCCAGUGCUGAUGGACUUCCGGUUACUGGCUGCAAACUCUGUACAAGGCAAUUUGAGCUACCACUUGGUGAAGAUCGGAUCUAAUAUGUUCAGUGAUACCUUUUUUUGUAGGGAAUCCUGGAAGAAAGAUCGAUUCGUGUUGGAAUUGAAGUCAUCUAUAGCUCUACGCAGAACAAAGGGGAUCCAUCUAUGGAAUCUUUGAUGUAAACACACAACCAGCUUUCAAGGGAGAUGCCACCGACCUCUACAUAUGACUUGUGGUGGUGAGUCUGCUGUAUAGGGCGGGCGUGAUCAUGGAGUGGGUAUAACUGCAGAAAGCACCGCUAGCCAAAGAACCGACCAUCAAUGCAGCCCUUGACAACCGUAACCAACAAGGCUCUGCGGUGAUUGUGAUGACUGGGUUGUCAUCAUGAUUCACAAGAGGAUAAGCACUAUGAUGAAUUGGGAAAGAGAGGUUGAUACUUCAGAUAUGUUCUACGCUGAUAAUGAUGGUGAUAGUGGCCUACGAUUCAGAUGGAUGGGGUGGAGAAUAGCAUGAAUUAAUCUUCAAAUCCAACAAGGUAGCGCUUCACCAUGGAUGGCUACGACGGCGGCGGAAUGGAAGAGCUCAAUGUGUUCUGUAAGAUGGUUGUCUGGUAUGUGGAGUGAAGAUGCAUCUAGCAUCAGCUUCUUGGUUAUUGAGGACACCUUUCCCUGGUGGUGCUACCGGAGCCCAAAUAUCUAAUUUUUCUUGACCAUAUAGUGAAAGCAAUUCGCUCCGGUUAUCUUCAGGGCUACUGACUUGAUUCGCACGUGGUCCUUACUCACUCCUGCGGAAGCCAAGGAGCCUUUGGUUACUGGGUGUGCUCGCUAGGAGAUUGUAGCUCAGAGUAUGUUCAACCGGUUUGGAUGACGACAUAUUAAUAGGAUAGUUGGAUAGUCAUCUAGGCCUAUUACCAUUCCCGGUUGUGGCGCGACAGACGCCUUGCAUCUUUUAUUUCUUUUCUAAGACCUAUAUGUACUUUGUUGAGACUGGUUUCGUUAUGUUUUAAUAAAAGGCUGCAUGCAUCACUCGAUGCAGAGGCCGGGGCCAUGCCUCCUUUUCUAAAAAAACCCAGGGUGUAAAUCACAAGAGAACCGUGCAAUGAGAUUCUUGUCAUACUGGUGAGGAUAGUGUCAUAUUCUUAUAUUGUUUUGCUCAAUAAUAUUGAAGCAUUGGGCCCUUCUUGUUCUGUAUGUCCAUGGGGAAGAUGGACCUCAUGCCCCUGGGUGUAUGAAGAGGACUGGAGUAGGGAGAGUCAUCCACCGGAUAGGACCCCAUGUCCGGAGAGGGUUGUGCACUUGAGAAGAGCCAAUCAGGGUACACAGACAAGUUGGGUGACCAUGUUCUUGAGCUUUUCAUCCAUUUGAUUCAUUAGGAGAGCCAUAUGAUUUAUAUAACUUGUAUUUCUGGGAGCAUGGUUUUAUAAUUCACUAUGAAAAAAGUCAGCUAAACACAGAGAAGAUGAAAUGCUUGCAAAAAAAGUUUGUGGUUGCUCUGUAUCUUAACUGGGUUGGUAUAGAAUCAAGUUCAGGUUCACCGGUGCUGAUAAUGGAAAUUUAUAUCCGCACAGGAGAGGCCUACAUAGGAGAACAUUAUGUCUUGCCGCUGUGAAUACCCAACAUUGGUUCGACUUUCCACACAUCAGACAAGGGGUGGCACAUUACUAAGCACAGAGUCUCGCACAAUCAUUCAUUCAUGCCCACAUGUGGCGAGAAGGUUCAUUAGCAGUCGUACAAGGAGAUAUAUUAGUACACAAAGAACUUGGUAAAGCUGCUAAGGCAAAACUUUCUUUGACUAUGAAUUCAAGGCCAAAUUUUGCUCCUUCUUUUCCUCCAAUUAUUCAUUCCAGUUUGAUUAGGAUGAGACGUGUUUCGGUUAGCAUGAUUGUUUGUAGAUGGUCACCACCAUCCGUGUACUUUUGUUGUUGUCACUUCAUUAAUUAUUUCCCCAAAAGAGAACAUUGUAGAAAUCAGGUGCAUUUUAUUAAAUAUGAUGGACAAGUUCUUAUGUCAAGUCUCGGGGUGUAGAAUCUAUUUCAUAGAGGUCGGUUAUCCUAUCUUUGUAUUGUUUUCUCUUUGCAUGGAUGAAGGUAUUUUUCGAAGAAUCCUUCUUAUGCU